ensembl:lncRNA
AUAUCUGAAUUCUUUUCAACUCUACAACUUGUGUGAUAAGAACCGUAUUCUGUAUAAGGGAAUUAUGGUUCACACUAAGCUGUUUAUGCAGAAUUGCCCAUUAACUACAAUAUGAUGUGAAGAUUUUUCAGAAUUUUUAUGAACUAUUUCUUAAAUGUUUCCAAAAUGAAGAUUAAAAAUCUACAAAAAUACUUUGUAUAUUAUAAUUAUUAUUGUAACUGUAUUAUUGUGCCUUGUUUUUAUUAUGUCAAUGCAUUGUACACUGAAGGUUUUGCUGACAAAAUAGAAGGCAUGAUAAUUCAAAAUGUGAUGUAAAAAUGAAAUGCUAUGUAUUUUAAAAUUGUAUAAUGUACUAGAAAUUUUAUCAUUGUUAAAAUAUGAUACUUCAGUAUAUUCUUUAAUGAAAUAAUAAUUCAUACUUUUGUAUGGAUUGGGAUUCAAGCUGGCAUUGAAUUUAUAACAUUGUUAAGAUAUUUUCAUCCAGAUGAAUGGAAUUUUUAUGUUCUAGGUGUAUUAUUUUCAAUUGCUACAUUUGAUGAUAAAUUGAAAAUUAACACCUAUGCUGUAAUCUAAUCUAGAUGCUUAUAAAUCUAUGGAUGUAAGAUCUAUACUGAGAAAACCGUUCUAAACUGUGAGGGUGCUAUAGAAAAAAUAAAAAUAGCAUUAUUUUACAUUUUUUGUUAUUUUAUUUUAUUUUAGCUAAGGACUCAGGAAAAGAAGCACCUUCUGUUUUUAAGGUUAGUUAUAAACGAAUCAUUUAACUGGCUACUACUGUUUACCCUUGUAAAAAUGCUACAAAUUUUUUUUUUUCUCCUUGUCUUGGCAAAAGUUAAAAAAGCCUCUAGGAUCAGAUAGAUGAUACUGUAGUUGUAAACAUUUGGCCACCAAUCUGUAUUUUCUUUAUCUUGAUUCAAGCUCUAAAUGGGUGGGGUAAGGCAGCUCUCUUCUCUAGAAACCUGCAGAACUGUUUCUCCUUUUGAGAUAGAAACCAAUCCUAGUCUAGAGCAAAGCUUCUUAAAUUGUGGGAGGUGACCCUAUGAGGUGACAUCAUUGAAUGUGGGGGUUGUGAAAUUAUGAUUUAUUAUCAGUAAAUGUUUGAUUUGUAUAUCUAUUAUAUAUAUCUAUAUGCCUGGUCACAUAAAAAUUUCUUGGGCAAAAAGGGAGUUGCAGGUGGAAAAAAUUUAAGAAGUGCUGAUGUAGAGAACUUGGACUUUCUCAAUUAGGAACAUAAUAACUCCUGCUGCUCCCAACAAGGAACAAGCUGCUCCCAACUUGCUGGGAUGUGCUUAAGAAUACUGUAGUGAUUCCUUGCCUCCUCUGCCUUGAAGAGGUAUGUGAGUUCUCAGCGUGCUGGGCUUGUUUGAGCAGGCUCCAUGGAGUAUGUAUACAUUGUCCACAUAGACAAGGACCUUGUUUUUUCCUGGAGUCCGGGAUCCUAUGGCCAUGAAUGUUCUCUUUAAAUCCUUGGACCCAGGACCCAGGGAUGGGAUUGAGCCUUUGGGGAAAUGAGCAGGUCUGUUAGGGCUUCAUGGAGUGACAGACACACCUUUACAUCUACAUACGCUGAGCAAGGAGCAAUCACCACAAAGAACAUAAUAUUCUUUGAAAGUCUAAAAUUAUUUCAUCUCUUUGGCAUCAUAGACAUUUAGGCCAAUUUCCUUUCAAGCCCAGUACACAGGAUGCAUGGUGAUGGGAGGUUUGUCCUUCCUUAGCUGUUGAUCUGUCCAUUCCUAAGGGGAGAGCAACAGUGUCCAUGAGCUUCUUUAAAAGAAGUGAUGAAUACCAAAUUAGGUUCUUAAUGAAGGAGAGCCCAUAUGAAAGGAGAUGAUAAUCAGCUGUGUGCUGAAUUUCUCAGGUGCUUCUGAUGUUAUGGUCCUUCAUGUAAUGAGCUACAUUAUAUUUUUAUCACCAAAGUUUAAAUGUAAAACAUUUCCAGUGUUAUUUUCCUUUAUCAGAAAUUUGUAAUAAACAGUGCCAUAAAAACCCCACAUGUAAAAUUCUGUUGUAUGGUUUUUAAUAAAAAAAUGGUUAAAUUUGGUGUGUGGACUUAACUCUGUAAAAUAUUGUAUGAAAUGUUACCAAAC